UCUGUAUUCUAAGUUCUAAUGUCCUUCCCCACUCUCGUGUUCCAAGGCUCUUCCCAGCUCUUCCCUAGGUCCCUGCCACUGAGAUGCACAAGCAAGCUUGUUAUCUGUUGAAGGCUUAAUUAAUUGUUGAUAAAGUCUAAAUGGGGAGACAGGCUUCCUCCAACUGACAAGUCUGCAGGCACAGAGGACCUUGUUUUAUGAUGAGGUUCUUCCUUCUGUCAAUCUGACAGAAGUUCUCUCAGAAGUAGCUGGAACUGCCUGGGACAUGCUGAUCACCCCAUUUGAUUUCAUUGCCAUCGCUAUUACUGCUCAGGCUUAUAAUUGGACAAGACCCUGCCUCUCCCCAACUCCCUUGCAGAUCAAAGAAAUUCAUUUAGAACACGCUGAGAAGGUCCUCAUUUCUCUUCACCAGCACAAGUUUCUUAUGGACUACCCAUAAACGCAGAAGAUGAACUGUGACAGCUUCCCCACAAAAUAAACUGCUUUAAAAUGCUCACAAA